ACGGGCCAAAAAUGGUCAACUCUUUGGACACUCGUAAACAGGUGGUGCAUGGUUGUCGUCAGCUCGUGUCGUGAGAUGUUGGGUUAAGUCCCGCAACGAGCGCAACCCUCGUUCUAUGUUGCCAGCACGUAAUGGUGGGAACUCAUGGGAUACUGCCGGGGUCAACUCGGAGGAAGGUGGGGAUGACGUCAAAUCAUCAUGCCCCUUAUGUCUUGGGCUUCACGCAUGCUACAAUGGCCGGUACAAAGGGCUGCAAUACCGUGAGGUGGAGCGAAUCCCAAAAAGCCGGUCCCAGUUCGGAUUGAGGUCUGCAACUCGACCUCAUGAAGUCGGAGUCGCUAGUAAUCGCAGAUCAGCAACGCUGCGGUGAAUACGUUCCCGGGUCUUGUACACACCGCCCGUCAAGUCAUGAAAGUCGGUAACACCUGAAGCCGGUGGCCUAACCCUUGUGGAGGGAGCUGUCGAAGGUGGGAUCGGUAAUUAGGACUAAGUCGUAACAAAGG
rnacentral:rRNA from 1 species